rnacentral:lncRNA from 1 species
ACGUAGGAGAGUUCCAGCUUAUCCAUGAUAUACAUGGCUUGUUUUACGCUUUCCAACCUCUCCGGUAGCUGACUUACGAAUAUUUCAAUGUGCAUUCUUUCAUUAAUAUGCACAGAAUCCUCGAGAUUUAGCUUGUUGGCGACCGUCUUGAUCUUGACCAGGUAAGCUUGCAUGGAUUCUUGGGAUGGGUGCUUAAUCUUUAUUAGUUCCACGAGAAGGGAUACUGUUCUUUCAAGUCCGGUCUGAUCAAAAUUCUCUUUCAAUGUACUCCAUGCAUCUCGAGCGGUAGUGCAAUCCUUGAUGUAGUUCAUUAUUUCCAUGCCCAUGGCGGAUGCGAUGAUUCGUGUCUCUUGACUGUCUUUAUCGAAGUCGAAAGCGCUGUCGGAUGCAUCGAUGUAGUUGGCAGCAAGUCUUUUGGUCUCGAUCGCGCGCCUGGCUGCUUUCUCGGCCGUGGAUUCAUCUGUCGUCGUGGACUCGGACUUGGAUGCCGCACAUUCCGCCUUUGGAGCCACAUACUUCCAUAAUCCUCUGCGUUUCAGGAUGAAUUGAAGCUGGGUAGACCAUUUGAGGAAGUUGGAACCGUCGAACAUGCGGACACUGUCUGAUUGUGUCAUCUUGGCAGAGUCUUGCUUGUGGAUCGUCGUCGUCGAUGAAAUGCGGAGUUGUUUUGGAGAGAUUGGGCUGAUGGCUUGGCGAAUGUGGUAUUUUCUGUUUAAGUGCGGGUUGGGCUCAUAACCUAUUAGAGUUUAAGCGUUUAGGAAAUGGUAGAAGAGAUUACUUUAUUUUUGAUGUAAAGUUGGGUUGCAUUUAUACUACAGAAGUCUUGGAUUUAUGGGGUUAUCUCGAAGGUCUCGAACUGUUUCAUUGGUUUUGAAUAAGGGUAAGGGCAAUUCGGGAUGUCAGGAGACCGCAUGUUGCUGAUACAAUAAAUUCCUCGAGUCUUUAUCAGUUGACCACGAUUUCCGUGAGGUAUUCGCUGGCUUGGAGCUCAACAACAUAAUUGUUGGAGUUUUGAGAAGUAGGUUUUAAGGUCGACAUAUUAGUAUGUAUAUCGUGAUGUACUAGAAAUUUUGGAAAUGACGUAAUUGUGUACAAUUACUGUAUGUUAGAUCUUAUUAUUAGAAAUGUAGGGAUGUGUUGAAACAUUGUUCUGUAUAAGGGAACUAACUUUCAUUGAAUAGUAAUUAUCAAGACAUUGGCUACAAGGAGGUGGAAAAAAAGCUGCUAGUGACAUAUUUAGCUACAAAAUCUAGGUAUGUGAACAUUUGAUGACUUAUUCAAAUGUGACAACCAUUUAUUAUGGUGAUUGAUUAAGCAUUAGAUAAUUGUUAUAUAAGACAUUGAUAAUGAAGAUUGUGAGAAUGUAUAAGAGAAUGUAGAGGUCCUAAAAAUUAAAUUUAAUAAGUUAUAAAAUGUGUUGUUUUUCUUUUAUACAAGUAGUAUUUAUGUGUAGAGUGAAAAUGAAUUGUACAUAAGUAAAUAAAAUUUGAUAAGAAAUUAAACUAUGAUUGUUAUAUGAUGGUAAUAUUGGAUAAAUUGAAGAACUUACAUAAAACAAAACUUACAUAAAACAAAACUUAAUUGGUGAUAAAUAGAUAUAGCACUAAUAGUAAGUGAAUAGAAAAGAAUGGAAGAAAAGUAGAUUUAAAGAGUAUGUAUAGAAUAGAAUAUCAAAUAUUAUUUGAUGUGAGAAAGAAUUCACAAUGUGGCACUUGAUGUAGUAAUUUAUAUACUAUGCACAACUAAAAGUUUGUGCAUGAGAGAAGCAUUUUAUAUUGAAAGUAUGAUAAUGAUCAGUACUAAACAUUAUUUGUAUGAUUUCA